UACAGGGGGUGCAAACGUUGCUCGGAAUUAUUGGGCGUAAAGCGCGCGUAGGCGGCUACCUAAGUCGGAUGUGAAAGCCCCUGGCUUAACUGGGGAAGUGCACCCGAAACUGAGUAGCUAGAGUGCGAAAGAGGGUCGCGGAAUUCCCGGUGUAGAGGUGAAAUUCGUAGAUAUCGGGAGGAACACCGGUGGCGAAGGCGGCGACCUGGGUCGACACUGACGCUGAGGUGCGAAAGCGUGGGGAGCAAACAGG
rnacentral:rRNA from 1 species